UACGUAGGUGGCAAGCGUUAUCCGGAAUUAUUGGGCGUAAAGCGCGCGCAGGUGGUUUCUUAAGUCUGAUGUGAAAGCCCACGGCUCAACCGUGGAGGGUCAUUGGAAACUGGGAGACUUGAGUGCAGAAGAGGAAAGUGGAAUUCCAUGUGUAGCGGUGAAAUGCGUAGAUAUCUGGAGGAACACCGGUGGCGAAGGCGGCAUCCUGGACCAACACUGACACUGAGGAGCGAAAGCCAGGGGAGCAAACGGG
rnacentral:rRNA from 1 species